CUGAAAUAUUUUUUACAGACGCCAUUUUCUUUGCUCGCGAUGCGCGCAUAUGAGGACGGAAUUCGGCGAAAUAUAUUGUAUAAUCUUACUCAUAAAAUGUGUUUUGUAAUAUCAUAUCGUUUUAUAACGACAUUUAUCUGCUGUGUGCACAUAAACUUUUCUCAAGGACAUUUCCUUUCACUCGCGAUGCGGAACAGACGAGGACGUCAUUUAUUUUCUAUAUGGGAAAUCGUAAAAGAAGGUUAAGUGUGUUUAAUAACAUCAUGUUGAUUUAUAGCGAUAUUUAUGUGCUUUACUCCAAAACUUUUUUCUCAAGAGAGAUAUUUUCUUCCACUCACGAUGGGGAGAAUACGGGGAAUCUGUUUCUUAUCAAAGGGAAACACCAUAAGUAACGUUAAGUGUUUUUACCUCGUUUACAUGUAUUUUAUAAGAUGAAUUUACUUUAUGAUGAUAUUUAAAUGCUGUGCGCGCCUAAACUAGCCUAACGGUUCCUCACAGAUUUGAAUCGCUGUACAGUGCAGACGCGGUUAGAAAAAGUAAAGACCAGAAAGAGAUAUUUUCUUUCACUCGCGAAACGGAGUAGACGAGGAAGUUGGUUUUAGGAAAACACCGAAAACAGAGCCCUGCUUCAGCGCAAUGAGAUUAGCAUGGAAUUCAGGAAUUGCAACCUAUUUUCCACUGGAAACUGCAGACAUCUUGUCGUCCUGAAAAAAAGAAAGAGACUACUUUCUCCUAGGAGGUCCAAACGCCAUUGGCACAGACUUUGUUCAGUGAUCAGUAACAUACAUUCAGCCAGGGCCGUCCUUAGUGGGGUGCAACUGGAGCGGUCGCACCGGGCCCCGCACUUGAGGGGUAAACGGACUGGAUGAGCCCUCCCUCCGCCAACCCGGGAACGCUCCCUACUUCACACCGGGCCCCGAAUCAGCUAAGUACGGCCCUGCAUUCAUGGUUGAUGGUAGUGAAUAAGAUGCUGUGGUUUAAGCAGAUAAAUGUAAGCACUAUAAACCUGAUUAAAUUGAGAAUACAUAUGGACCAAAUACGUUUUUUGUGCCUUUGCACUGAUUAGCUUUGAUAUUGUUUUAAUUGUUGUAAAGUAUGUUCUUUAUAUGCACUGAAAACACUGAAUGUGAAGACAUUUUAGUGCAGUGAAAAAGAGUUACAAUGUUUCAAUUAAAAUAAAUAAGUGC
ensembl:lncRNA